rnacentral:tRNA from 1 species
GCGGUGGUGGUUCAGUGAUAGAACUUUCACUUUCCAUACAGGAGACCUGGGUUCGAGUCCCAGCUGCUGCA